rnacentral:lncRNA from 1 species
GUGCCUCCCCAAAAUUCAUAUGCUGACAACCUACUCACCAAGCAGAGCAGCCUGAAUAUGCAAAGACCAACAAUAUGCUGCAUUUUUCCUAUGAAGACUGUGGCCAGUCUUUGCUGUGAAAAAAUACUCUCUGGUAACUUUUCUGUGGGUCCUCAUCACACAAUUUGCCUCAUGUUGUACUGCGAUGAGGUCAGUGUUUUCUAAUAAUGAGAAAUUCUCCAUCUUCAAGGCCAGUAGCUAGUGCCCAGGGGCUACAGGAAGGACAUGUUGGUUUCAGCUGGUGACAGUCCCAUCCUACGGUAGCAGCUGGCUUGUCGUCUGAAGGAGCCAGGCUCAACAAAAAGAGAACUGUGAGCUCUUUGUGGGAGCCUUUGGGCUGCCCAUGGCCUAUGCUGAGCCCCACCUUUCUGACAUGAGGCCUCCCCAGGGCUCCUUAAGCUUCUAGAUUUUUCUCAGGAUUCCUCUGUGUCUGGUGUUGAAUAUGCUGAAUAUCAAUCUACAAUCAAUACAGUGUUGCCUGGAGGCACCUCUUGCUUCAAAUUUGCUUCACAAAUCUGCUGCAGUGACAGAAAGCUAAGACAGCUGCAGAAAAAGCCAACCCUGCUGAUUCCUUCAUCUUGGACUUGCAGCCUCCAGAACUGUGAGCAAAUGAACAUCUGUUGUUUAAGCCACCCAGUCUGUGGUACUGUGUUAUGGCAGCCCCAGCAAUCUAAUGCAGAGGGGAAAGUGGGUUUGGGUGCAGAAAAAAUUAUAUUUAAACAUCAAAUUGCUUCUAGAAAAAGCCAAAGUAUAAACCAUGAUAAAGGAGAGAGAAGAGAAGGAAGGGGCUUGGCAAGGAUCCGGCAGUGGAAUGGGACAGACUUUCAACACCUUGCCAUGCGAUCUUUCCCCACAAACUCCUGUGUGACCCACAUAUGAAUUCUCACUGAGAGACACAGACUGAAAGAGGCUUGGCCUGAAGAAUUUGCCAGAGGGCACAGGGAGCAUGGCUUAUUUCUUGGGAGAUGACAACAGGUCAAUUUGAUCCUACACUGUAGAAUUUUCUCCAGAUGAAAAACCUAGAAACAUCAGUGCUGGUUCCAGUUGGAAAGAAAUAAUGGAAGAGAGAUGUGAAGAUGCCCAGGUACUUGUUACAAAUAAAUUAAAAAUAAAAAAGAAACUGUCAUGUGGCCAGAUGAUCAACAAUAUAAUGGGUAUUUGAUUGAAGCUAGAAAUACUCUAAAUAGAACUGAAGAUUGCCCUUUAAAAAUUGAAAACAAAA